AAUUCCCUGCGGUGUUCGCCAAGGCCCUACAUUCCUUGAACCAAUGUGCAUGUGCAUCGGUUGCCGCCCAUAGACGCCGCCGUUGUGAGCACUCCUCGUCGAGUGCACCUGAAGCGGCAGGAACGCGACCUCUCUGAACCCAGGUUCAGGAUGCCGGCCAAACGGCACUGCGGGGAACCC
rnacentral:other from 1 species